GGGGAAACUAAACUGAGGUCUUUGAAAAAUAAGUGACCUGUGAAGGAUCACAUAGCUGACGCAGGGAUAAAACUGGAGUCUGGGAAGUAAACACAAAAACUAUCACCAUCAUGUAGUAUCUUCUUAGUGUAUGUCAUAGUUUUUAUACUCAUUGUCUUUAGUUUACGUAACGAGGUGGACAUUUAACCCAUAUUUUAUUGAUGAGGAAACUGAGGCACUGACAGGUAAAUUAACUUGUCCUGGCUCACACAGAUGGGAAGUGACGCCAGAUCUUCUGUCUCCUGGGUCAUUACGUAAUAUUUCUAGAAUUUUUUGAGAAUGAAUUAUGUGGUAGGUAUUUUAUGUGCAUUUUAACAAUCAUCACAGAAACUCUCUGUGGCAAAUAACAUAGCCCCAUUUUGAAAAUGAAGGAAUGAGGACAAGGUGAGGUGGCUCAUGCCUGUAAUCCCAGCAUUUUGGGAGGCCGAGGAGGGCGGGUCACGAGGUCAGGAGAUCGAGACCAUCCUGGCUAACACGGUGAAAUCCUAUCUCUACUAAAAAUACAAAAAAAUAGCAGGGUGUGGUGGCAGAUGCCUAUAAUCCCAGCUACUUGGGAGGCUGAGGCAGAAGAAUCGCUUGAACCCAGGGGGUGGAGGUUGCAGUGCGCCGAGAUCACACCAUUGCACUCCAGCCUGGGUGACAGAGUGAAACUCCAUCUCAAAAAAAAAAAACUGAAGGAACUUAGAAGAAAUGGUAACUUGCUCAAGCUUGCUUAGCUAGUCAGCGGUGGAGCUGAAAUUCAAACACAUGUCUGUCUGACUCUAUGUCUUAAACUCCUAGCUGCAACAAUACAGUGCGCUGGAUGACUGGGAUCCUAAAAGGAUAAGGCUUAGGGACGUUGUUAGACCUCACAGAUAUACAUCAUUUGCUUUGGCUUGUGAUAAUGAGAGAAGGGGUACGGUCCUGUCCAUCAUUCCAAGUCCCUUCUCCUAAAUGCUGGUAGUGUUCUCUUUAGCAGCACGUCUCUGAUGCCGACUGCAGCGCUGACAGUUUCCCGUAAAGCACACAUCCCCUUGCAUCAAGUCUGCAAACAGAUGAAGCAGAAGGUCACACUUUCCAAGAACAAACUCCUUGGGUCUGAGAGCCAGCUGGAGAUGUUUCAGUCCCAAUUAGGUAAUUUUGAGGGGGUAAGUUAUAGCUUAUACAAACAAGGAGUCCCAGCAAGGUUCUGCACACAGCCUUUUUAAAAAAGACCCCAAGAAUCAUC
rnacentral:lncRNA from 10 species